rnacentral:rRNA from 1 species
UCAGGACGAACGCUGGCGGCGUGCCUAAUACAUGCAAGUCGAGCGGACAGAAGGGAGCUUGCUCCCGGAUGUUAGCGGCGGACGGGUGAGUAACACGUGGGUAACCUGCCUGUAAGACUGGGAUAACUCCGGGAAACCGGAGCUAAUACCGGAUAGUUCCUUGAACCGCAUGGUUCAAGGAUGAAAGACGGUUUCGGCUGUCACUUACAGAUGGACCCGCGGCGCAUUAGCUAGUUGGUGGGGUAAUGGCUCACCAAGGCGACGAUGCGUAGCCGACCUGAGAGGGUGAUCGGCCACACUGGGACUGAGACACGGCCCAGACUCCUACGGGAGGCAGCAGUAGGGAAUCUUCCGCAAUGGACGAAAGUCUGACGGAGCAACGCCGCGUGAGUGAUGAAGGUUUUCGGAUCGUAAAGCUCUGUUGUUAGGGAAGAACAAGUGCGAGAGUAACUGCUCGCACCUUGACGGUACCUAACCAGAAAGCCACGGCUAACUACGUGCCAGCAGCCGCGGUAAUACGUAGGUGGCAAGCGUUGUCCGGAAUUAUUGGGCGUAAAGGGCUCGCAGGCGGUUUCUUAAGUCUGAUGUGAAAGCCCCCGGCUCAACCGGGGAGGGUCAUUGGAAACUGGGAAACUUGAGUGCAGAAGAGGAGAGUGGAAUUCCACGUGUAGCGGUGAAAUGCGUAGAGAUGUGGAGGAACACCAGUGGCGAAGGCGACUCUCUGGUCUGUAACUGACGCUGAGGAGCGAAAGCGUGGGGAGCGAACAGGAUUAGAUACCCUGGUAGUCCACGCCGUAAACGAUGAGUGCUAAGUGUUAGGGGGUUUCCGCCCCUUAGUGCUGCAGCUAACGCAUUAAGCACUCCGCCUGGGGAGUACGGUCGCAAGACUGAAACUCAAAGGAAUUGACGGGGGCCCGCACAAGCGGUGGAGCAUGUGGUUUAAUUCGAAGCAACGCGAAGAACCUUACCAGGUCUUGACAUCCUCUGACAACCCUAGAGAUAGGGCUUUCCCUUCGGGGACAGAGUGACAGGUGGUGCAUGGUUGUCGUCAGCUCGUGUCGUGAGAUGUUGGGUUAAGUCCCGCAACGAGCGCAACCCUUGAUCUUAGUUGCCAGCAUUCAGUUGGGCACUCUAAGGUGACUGCCGGUGACAAACCGGAGGAAGGUGGGGAUGACGUCAAAUCAUCAUGCCCCUUAUGACCUGGGCUACACACGUGCUACAAUGGACAGAACAAAGGGCUGCAAGACCGCAAGGUUUAGCCAAUCCCAUAAAUCUGUUCUCAGUUCGGAUCGCAGUCUGCAACUCGACUGCGUGAAGCUGGAAUCGCUAGUAAUCGCGGAUCAGCAUGCGCGGGUGUGAUAUACGUUCCCGGGCCUUGUACACACCGCCCGUCACACCACGAGAGUUUGCAACACCCGAAGUCGGUGAGGUAACCUUUAUGGAGCCAGCCGCCGAAGUGGGGCAGAUGAUUGGGGUGA